rnacentral:tRNA from 1 species
GGCACCGUAGCUCAGUGGUUAGAGCGGGCGUUUCAUAAGCGCUAGGUCAGAGGUUCAAUCCCUCUCGGUGCCACAA